UACGUAGGGUGCAAGCGUUGUCCGGAUUUAUUGGGUUUAAAGGGUGCGUAGGCGGCCUGUUAAGUCAGUGGUGAAAUCCAACAGCUCAACUGUUGAUGUGCCAAUGAUACUGACAGGCUUGAGUACAGACGAGGUAGGCGGAAUUUAUGGUGUAGCGGUGAAAUGCAUAGAUACCAUAAAGAACACCUAUAGCGAAGGCAGCUUGCUAGCCUGUAACUGACGCUGAGGCACGAAAGUAUGGGGAUCAAAC
rnacentral:rRNA from 1 species